GAUGAACGCUAGCGGCGGGCUUAACACAUGCAAGUCGAGGGAUAAGCCUUCGGGCUAGGGCCGGCCCACGGGUGCGUACCGCGUAUACACUCUGCCUUUUACCCGGGUGGUAGCCCGAAGAAAUUUAGGUUAAUACCCUAUGUAAUAAGAGCACGGCAUCGUUCACUUAUUAAAGCUACGACGGUAAAACGUGAGGAUGCGUUCUAUUAGCUAGUCGGAGAGGUAACGGCUCCCCAAGGUGCCGAUAGUUAGGGGUUCUGAGAGUGAUGUCCCCGAGAGGGGUACUGACAUACGGGCCAGACUGCUACGGGAGGCAGCAGUGAGGAAUAUUGGACAAUGGUCUGUAGAAUGAUGCAGCCAUGCCGCGUGCAGCAUCACGGCGUUAGGGGUUGUAACCUGCUUUUGUAAGGGAAGAAUAAGCAGUAACUGUACGUUGAUGACGGUACCUGAUGAAUAAGCACCGGCUAACUCCGUG
rnacentral:rRNA from 1 species